GCUGGGUGAGGUGGCGCAUGCCUGUAAUCCUAGUGGCUUGGGAGGCUGAGGCAGGAGGAUGGCAUGUUCAAAGACAGCCUCAGAAACUUAGUGAGGUCCUAAGCAAUUCAGCAAGACUCUGUCUCCA
rnacentral:sRNA from 1 species